UACGUAGGGGGCGAGCGUUGUCCGGAUUUAUUGGGCGUAAAGAGCGUGUAGGCGGCCUGAAAGGUCAGCUGUGAAAACUCGAGGCUCAACCUCGAGACGUCGGUUGAAACCAUCUGGCUAGAGUCCGGAAGAGGAGUGUGGAAUUCCCGGUGUAGCGGUGAAAUGCGCAGAUAUCGGGAAGAACACCCGGUGGCGAAGGCGGCACUCUGGGACGGUACUGACGCUGAGGUGCGAAAGCGUGGGGAGCAAACAGG
rnacentral:rRNA from 1 species